rnacentral:misc_RNA from 1 species
GCAAACUUGGUCAUUUAGAGGAAGUAAAAGUCGUAACAAGGUUUCCGUAGGGUGAGUGGUUUUCUACACGUGCGAUAAGUAGUGGCAGUCUGCUAACGUUUAAUAGUGAACCUGCGGAAGGAUCAUUACCGAGCGCGGGUCGUUCAGUGAAUUCUGGCGGCCUCCUCCCGUCCUUUGUCUUCUAUUACACGCUUCGCUUCGGCGGGGGAACCCGCCGGCGUACUUUUAAAUUUUACCCGUCGAACGGUGCCGUCCGAGGUGGCAUUUUAAAUAAAAAGCGAAAACUUUCAACAACGGAUCUCUUGGUUCCGGCAUCAAUGAAGAACGCAGC